UACGUAGGUGGCAAGCGUUGUCCGGAAUUAUUGGGCGUAAAGGCGCGCGCAGGUGGUUUCUUAAGUCUGAUGUGAAAGCCCACGGCUCAACCGUGGAGGGUCAUUGGAAACUGGGGAACUUGAGUGCAGAAGAGGAAAGUGGAAUUCCAAGUGUAGCGGUGAAAUGCGUAGAGAUUUGGAGGAACACCAGUGGCGAAGGCGACUUUCUGGUCUGUAACGUGAACACUGAGGCGCGGAAAGCGUGGGGAGC
rnacentral:rRNA from 1 species